AUUGAACGCUGGCGGCAUGCCGUACACAUGCAAGUCGAACGAUGAAGCUGGAGCUUGCUCCGGUGGAUUAGUGGCGAACGGGUGAGUAACACGUGAGCAAUCUGCCCUUCACUCUGGGAUAACUGCGGGAAACUGUAGCUAAUACCGGAUACGAGGCUUGGAGGCAUCUCCAGGUCUGGAAAGAAUUUCGGUGAAGGAUGAGCUCGCGGCCUAUCAGCUUGUUGGUGAGGUAAUGGCUCACCAAGGCGAC
rnacentral:rRNA from 1 species